rnacentral:lncRNA from 1 species
GGCAGGGGGCGAGUGUGGAAGAGAUGAAACACGAGGUUGCAAACCAGGAUAGCGUGCUACCUGGACCCCCAGCAGCCCGCGGUAGACCCCAAGAAUGAGCAGUGUUGGUAUGGAUGAGUUUGUGGAGGGCAUUUCAACAAAUGAAAUUCAAAGCACGCAGGUGGGACAAGCAGAUGCAUCUGAUUCUGCUCGGCAUCGACCCAGCAAGCUGCACGAUUUCCUUAAAAAGAAUCUGCAUUCCCUGGGUGUAAGCUAUCUUUAGUCCUGUAGAUAUUUGGGGGUAGCUCAGAUCAUGAUUGGCCUGAAAUGCUUCUUGUUUGGAAUCAUUGAGAUUUUUUUUUACUGGCACUCUAAUCACAGAGGUCUCUUAUUCUGCUUUUAUAUUGGCUACCCAUUCUGGGGUGCAGCAUCUUUCAUCAUAUCUGGAUCUUUGACCAUCUCAUGUAUGAAAAAACAAACAAAAUUUCUGAUUGGAGUCAGUAUGGGAGCUCACAUUAUCAGCACGCUACUUUCAAGCACUGGGCUAAUUCUUCUCUUCGUGAAUCUAAUUGAUGUAUUCUUAUUUGAAUGCUCAGAGUUACGUGAGUGUUCAUUGGUUAAAUCUUUUAUAACCAGUAUUGUGAUCCUUCAAAUGAUAGUGACUUGUGCGCAGAUCUUCAUUUCCUUCUCACUCUGUGGGCUCACUUACACCAUGAAUGGCAGUGAGAUGAGCCUGGUUUCUGCACUGAGUUGCUUGAUCAGAACACAUUCUGAAGAUCCUUAUCAAGACUUAUUGACUCAACCUCAAACUUAUGAAGACUUAGUGCUGCAAGAUAUAGAUCCUGUUCACUCUGAUCCAUGAGACACCGUCAUAACAUUCUUUACCACACGAAUGCAUCUUGGAUCCACGAUAUCAAUCAAAGACAGAUUUUUUUUUAUAGGAAUCUCCUACAAAUACCGUCCUCCCUAUGUUUUCAUUAUGCAAUUUCACACACACACACACACACACACACACA